rnacentral:tRNA from 1 species
GCACCCGUAGCUCAACUGGAAAGAGCGUGUGGUUCGUACCCUCAGGUUGCUGGUUCAAGUCCAGCCGGGUGCACCA